UACGUAGGGUGCAGGCGUUAAUCGGAAUUACUGGGCGUAAAGCGUGCGCAGGCGGUUUGCUAAGACAGGUGUGAAAUCCCCGGGCUUAACCUGGGAACUGCGCUUGUAACUGGCAAGCUUGAGUGUGGCAGAGGGGGGUGGAAUUCCACGUGUAGCAGUGAAAUGCGUAGAGAUGUGGAGGAACACCGAUGGCGAAGGCAGCCCCCUGGGCUAACACUGACGCUGAGACGCGAAAGCGUGGGGAGCAAACAGG
rnacentral:rRNA from 1 species